rnacentral:lncRNA from 1 species
AGACUAUAGUGGGGUUGAGGUAACAGUGAGAGACGAGGGGAAGAACAUGAGAGUGAAUGCUCUGUGAAGAAACUUGGCUGAGGACAGAGGGUAGCAGCUAGAAGGGACCUCAGAGUCUUGGGGAAGGGAGAUUUUCAAAUUUUUAUUUUAUCUGUUUUUAAUAAAAUGGAAGACUUGGGACAUGAUAAUAGGCCAUGGAAGAAGGUGAAGCUAAUGGAGUAUACAGAUAACCAGCAGAGCAGUUUAGGCAGGAGUAGAGACUUGUACAU